UCUAUUUGAGUCAGCAGACAGUCUUCACAGAACUUGAAUAGCAAGCAUAAGAAAAGUUAAGGAGCAUUUACAAGUUGUUGUCCUCAAAAACUUUUAAUUUGUAAAUUUCUUUUGAAGUUUUUCACAAGUAAUGUUGCAGAAGAUCCAUGUAUGAGCUCCGAUACCACUCUGUGGCAGAACCACCUAAAUUAUAUGGCCCACAUGCACCUAUCAUUGUCAUUAAGACCUCUGAUUACUGCACAUGAGAGUCAUAUAACCCAGGUAGUCUGUCGGGUGCCCUUAGAGGACCCCGAAUCAUCCACAUUUUAACUCAUACAGGAUCAACAUGGAGUUACCACAACAUUACAUCAUUUGUUACAAAAAUAACUUACAUUGGAGUGCGGAAGAUUUAUAACUCAAUUUACAACAUAUGAUGGAAUAUAAACAACUAAAUUUCCAAAAGGUGUGCGGAGUAGCGGAAGCAUCUUAGGUGAAGCUUCUAAGGUAGAAGAGGUGGAUAAAUCAUGUCGCGCCCACCGACAUGACCUCCAUUAGCAGCAUAAGUCAGCACCUGCAACAGGGGUUAUAAAACCCUAAGUACGGGAGUACUCAACAAGACUUACCCGGCAGAAAAAGAGGAGAACUUAGGAAUGCAGGCUUAGGGUAGACAAGGAGUGGCUGAGCAAGGAGCCAAAGUGUUUUGCGGAAAAGCUUACUAAUAGUGCAUUCUUACUUUCAAGUUUUACCCACGAAUUCCUCUCCUUAAGAGGCCGAGGAGUUCAAGGACAGUGUAUCUAGUUGCUUCUCACAGACGAGUCUGUAAGUUCCUAGUCCUUAAUCAAAGUAUUUUCUAUCCAACGGCCAUAGCUUCAUGUCACUCUGAGUCCGGGAAUUGGGAUCCGAACCUCAUGAGACAUUUCCCCCUUUCUCAUUUUACCACUUAGUUGCAUAAUUAACUACGAUGAGGGUCGAAUGAAUUGAGUCUCCCAAUCGGGGAGCAACGACGAUUCGAAUCGCUUAGCAAUCCAGCUGGAGUUCCUAACCACCCGACAUAUGUAGAACCAAAUCUUGCAUAUAUCAACCCAAGUCAGGCUCUCCCCAAAUUUGACCAGGUUCGCGGCACCCGAGAGCAUAGUACCCCACCAUCCUACAGCCGAUCUAGAUGUUUUCCGGUCAUCUCAGAUCCGUAAGGUGGGCACACGUUACUCUCGCCAUCUUUCCACUCCCAGUGCGCGAGUAGCUGUUCGCGUCGAGGGAUCACAAGACCGGGCUUACCGAGGGCAAGUGGCUAGUACUAUAAAUUCUCAACCCAGCAGGCCAUCAACGGACCGGUCCUUAACCGACACAGCUGGAGACACUACUUUAAGACUCCAUUCUUAAAGCAAGUCCACCGACCGGUCUCAAGUUGAAACAUCAUUGACCAUAAGUGUAUUCCACAACAACCCUUCAAACUUUCUUGUUUGAAAACCUAUCUAGUAGCAGGGCUAAGCAUCACUAUGCAGUUUUUAAAAUAAAACAGGUGCCAAGGACAAGAUAACAAGUAUCAAGGUAGUAAAUGCAGCAAGUAGGUUAACCCAAUUCUCAACUACCUAAUGCAGCAUUUUCAAACCAUAAGUGAUAAAAGAUUCAAAACAUUCAAGGAGGGGUUAAUGCAUCCGGGGCUUGCCUUGGUUGCAGGGCAGAGAGGGACCCUCGGAGACUUCCCAAGUCUCGGAU
rnacentral:lncRNA from 1 species